GGAAUGGAUUUGGAUUCUCACCAGUAGAACUACAACCAAAACAUCUUGUUUGUGACUAAAAGUGUUUGGUGUUCUGUUCAUGGAUUCAGCAGAAAGAGAGACUAACGGCUGCAGUGUUCUUAAGAUGUGCCAGAGAUCUCAGAAGCAUUUUCCCCAGUGCACAGUGGAGUGCUCUAAGCCUGAUGGCUUUGGACCACCUACCUUAAGACCACCUUCUUCCAUAUGAACCUACCUGCUCGCUCCAGUCAUCUCAGAGGCUCUGGUUUGGUUGCCCGAGGCUGGGUAGAUGGCAACUAAAACAAAGGCCUUCUCCAUCAUGGCACCAAAAGUGUGGAACUUACUCUCCAGGAAGACUCGUCUGUCUCCAUCUAUCAGUGUCUUUCAGCAGUGGGUGAAUA